UACUACUUAUAUCAUGACACACAAACUGAUCUUAACCCAUUGAAUAUCCAAACGUAACUAGACCUGCUGGUACAUUACAAGACAACAACUACAUCUGCGACAAUGUCGAAGAAAUCCGAAAAAGUAAUAAUACGGUAUGGACCAUACGGAUCAUGAGGAGUAGUUACACACAAGGCAAUGCGACUGAACGCGUUAAUAAAAUAUCUGGAAAAUAUGGGAUUGGAAACUCAACUAGUUCAGAUCCCACUCAAAGAGUUUCUUUUAGUUGUAGUUAAAGGAAAAACAGUAUGGAAAGGGAACAUAAAAUCUCUUCCUGUAG